UACGGAGGGAGCUAGCGGUGUUCGGAAUUACUGGGCGUAAAGCGCGCGUAGGCGGCUUUUCAAGUCAGGGGUGAAAUCCCGGGGCUCAACCUCGGAACUGCCCUUGAAACUGGAUGGCUAGAAUACUGGAGAGGUGAGUGGAAUUCCGAGUGUAGAGGUGAAAUUCGUAGAUAUUCGGAAGAACACCAGUGGCGAAGGCGACUCACUGGACAGUUAUUGGCGCUGAGGUGCGAAAGCGUGGGGAGCAAACAGG
rnacentral:rRNA from 1 species